rnacentral:rRNA from 1 species
GAUGAACGCUGGCGGCGUGCCUAACACAUGCAAGUCGAACGGAGUCGUUUUGGAAAUCUCUUCGGAGAUGGAAUUCUCGACUUAGUGGCGGACGGGUGAGUAACGCGUGAGCAAUCUGCCUUUAAGAGGGGGAUAACAGUCGGAAACGGCUGCUAAUACCGCAUAAAGCAUUAAAUUCGCAUGUUUUUGAUGCCAAAGGAGCAAUCCGCUUUUAGAUGAGCUCGCGUCUGAUUAGCUAGUUGGCGGGGUAACGGCCCACCAAGGCGACGAUCAGUAGCCGGACUGAGGGGUUGAACGGCCACAGUGAGACUGAGACACGGCCCAGACUCCUACGGGAGGCAGCAGUGGAAAAUAUUGCGCAAUGGGGGAAACCCUGACGCAGCAACGCCGCGUGAUUGAAGAAGGCCUUCGGGUUGUAAAGAUCUUUGAUCAGAGACGAAAAAAAUGACGGUACCUGAAGAAUAAGCGCCGGCUAACUACGUG